rnacentral:misc_RNA from 1 species
GAUGAAGAAUGUAGCGAAAUGCGAUAAGUAAUGUGAAUUGCAGAAUUCAGUGAAUCAUCGAAUCUUUGAACGCACAUUGCGCCCGCCAGUAUUCUGGCGGGCAUGCCUGUUCGAGCGUCAUUACAACCCUCAGGCCCCCGGGCCUGGCGUUGGGGAUCGGCGGAGCCCCCCGUGGGCACACGCCGUCCCCCAAAUGCAGUGGCGGUCCCGCCGCAGCUUCCAUCGCGUAGUAGCUAACACCUCGCGACUGGAGAGCGGCGCGGCCAUGCCGUAAAACACCCACCUCUUCUGAAGUUGACCUCGAAUCAGGUAGGAGUACCCGCUGAACUUAAGCAUAUCAAUAAGCGUAGGA